UUCCUGCUCUGGUAGGACAUAUACUAAAAUUGGAAUGAUGUAGCAUGACCCUUGCUCAAGGAUCACAUGCAACUUUGUGAGGCAUUUGCUU
rnacentral:snRNA from 1 species